GGUGGCUCAGUGGUAGAGCGCUUGGCUUGCAUGCAUGAAGCCCUGGGUUCGAUUCCUCAGCACCA
rnacentral:tRNA from 1 species